AAAAUUGCCAUCAAAAUCACUUGGCAUGUUUCCAAAAUUGCAGACCACACUUUGAAGUUGUUUGCCCAAAGUGCCAAUUUCAUAUGCCGUGUCACCAAACUUGUUCUCAUUUUAUGAACACAAUGUGCCAAAAUUGUGGUGGUCACCUUCCUUGUGCUUCAUCGUGCAAUGCACAUUACAACUCAUUGUGUCAACGUUGCCAAC